AUUGAACGCUGGCGGCAUGCUUUACACAUGCAAGUCGAACGGUAACAGGCCUUCGGAUGCUGACGAGUGGCGAACGGGUGAGUAAUACAUCGGAACGUGCCUAGUAGUGGGGGAUAACUACUCGAAAGAGUGGCUAAUACCGCAUGAGAUCUACGGAUGAAAGCAGGGGAUCGCAAGACCUUGUGCUACUAGAGCGGCCGAUGGCUGAUUAGGUAGUUGGUGGGAUAAAAGCUUACCAAGCCGACGAUCUGUAGCUGGUCUGAGAGGACGAUCAGCCACACUGGGACUGAGACACGGCCCAGACUCCUACGGGAGGCAGCAGUGGGGAAUUUUGGACAAUGGGCGAAAGCCUGAUCCAGCAAUGCCGCGUGCAGGAUGAAGGCCUUCGGGUUGUAAACUGCUUUUGUACGGAACGAAAAGCCCCGGGUUAAUACCCUGGGGUCAUGACGGUACCGUAAGAAUAAGCACCGGCUAACUACGUGCCAGCAGCCGCCGCCG
rnacentral:rRNA from 1 species